AUAUCUCCACCUGUGCACUUUUUGUAGACCUUUCAGGUCUAUGUUGCUUCAUUUACCCCAAUGUAUGUUAAUAGAAUGUUGUGCCUAUAAUAAUAUAUACAACUUUCAGCAACGGAUCUCUUGGCUCUCGCAUCGAUGAAGAACGCAGCGAAAUGCGAUAAGUAAUGUGAAUUGCAGAAUUCAGUGAAUCAUCGAAUCUUUGAACGCACCUUGCGCUCCUUGGUAUUCCGAGGAGCAUGCCUGUUUGAGUGUCAUUAAUAUAUAUAUCAAACUUCUCUUUGUUGAGUGGUUUGGAUGUGGGGGUUUGCUGGCCUUCUUAAAGAGUUCAGCUCCUCUGAAAUGCAUUAGCAGAACAACCUUGUUCAUUGGUGUGAUAACUAUCUACGCUAUUGAAUGUGAGGGGCAGUUCAGCUUUCUAACAGUCUUUGGACAAUUCAUCAUUAAUGUGACCUCAAAUCAGGUAGGACUACCCGCUGAACUUAAGCAUAUCAAUAAGCRGAGGAA
rnacentral:rRNA from 1 species